rnacentral:lncRNA from 10 species
UAGAACGAGCGACUAGGCCACUCCUGUGGAGGAUUGCCAUUGCCAGAGUUUGAAGCAGUUGCUUUUUCCUGCUAUUCCAAAAAUAGGACAACUGCGACCUUUGGCUUAUAAAUUCAGCUAAGGCAACAGUUGCACACACAACUGGGGUGGCCGCUCAGCUCUCUUCCUCUACCCACCCUGGCCCAGCGUCCCCUGCUGGUACCAGGCCCUGCUCCCUAGAUGCAGGGAUUGACCCAAACCCUGCCAAUCAAAGAGCCUCAGCUUCAGCAACAGCAAUUGGUCCAGCGGGGAGAGCACGUGAGCAGAGUCGAGCUUAUCAGAGUCCUCCCUGGCCCAUCCCAAACACAGCUGGCCAGGGGCCAGGAGCUCCCUCUGAGAUGGGAGCUUCUAUUCAGGCCAAGAGGCUGGUAGAAGGUGAAUCUGAAGUGGACUGUGAUGUAGGUUAUGGCUGAGAGAGUGGAGCAGGUGUGUGUGUGUGUGUGUGUGUGUGUGAGAGAGAGAGAGAGAGAGAGAGAGAGAAAGAGAGAGAGGUGGCGGUGCAGUUUUUAGGUGCCUGCCUGUAAUCCCAGCUACUCAGGAGGCUGAGAUGGGAGAAUAGCUUGAUUGCAGGAGG